rnacentral:rRNA from 1 species
AUACGUAGGUGGCAAGCGUUGUCCGGAAUUACUGGGUGUAAAGGGAGCGUAGGCGGGAAGGCAAGUUGAAUGUUUAAACUAUCGGCUCAACCGAUAAUCGCGUUCAAAACUGUUUUUCUUGAGUGAAGUAGAGGUAGGCGGAAUUCCUAGUGUAGCGGUGAAAUGCGUAGAUAUUAGGAGGAACACCAGUGGCGAAGGCGGUCUACUGGGCUUUAACUGACGCUGAGGCGCGAAAGCGUGGGGAGC